CGACGGACUCAUAUUGAAACCUAGUGAUUUAUGAGUUAGUGGCGGACGGGUGAGUAACGCGUGGAAAACCUGCCGUAUACCGGGGGAUAACACUUAGAAAUAGGUGCUAAUACCGCAUAAGCGCACAGCUUCGCAUGAAGCAGUGUGAAAAACUCCGGUGGUAUACGAUGGUUCCGCGUCUGAUUAGCUAGUUGGCGGGGUAACGGCCCACCAAGGCAGCGAUCAGUAGCCGGCCUGAGAGGGUGAACGGCCACAUUGGGACUGAGACACGGCCCAAACUCCUACGGGAGGCAGCAGUGGGGAAUAUUGCACAAUGGGGGAAACCCUGAUGCAGCGACGCCGCGUGAGUGAAGAAGUAUUUCGGUACGUAAAGCUCUAUCAGCAGGGAAGAAAAUGACGGUACCUGACUAAGAAGCCCCGGCUAACUACGUGCCAGCAGCCGCGGUAAUACGUAGGGGGCAAGCGUUAUCCGGAUUUACUGGGUGUAAAGGGAGCGUAGACGGCAGCGCAAGUCUGGAGUGAAAUGCCGGGGCUCAACCCCGGAACUGCUUUGGAAACUGUGCAGCUUGAGUGCGGGAGAGGUAAGUGGAAUUCCUAGUGUAGCGGUGAAAUGCGUAGAUAUUAGGAGGAACACCAGUGGCGAAGGCGGCUUACUGGACCGUAACUGACGUUGAGGCUCGAAAGCGUGGGGAGCAAACAGGAUUAGAUACCCUGGUAGUCCACGCCGUANACGAUGAUUACUAGGUGUCGGGGGACNAAGGUCCUCCGGUGCCGGCGCAAACGCAUUAAGUAAUCCACCUGGGGAGUACGUUCGCAAGAAUGAAACUCAAAG
rnacentral:rRNA from 1 species